GACGGGACCCGCACAAGCGGUGGAUGAUGUGGAUUAAUUCGAUGCAACGCGAAAACCUUACCUACCCUUGACAUGUCCGGAAUCCUGCAGAGAUGCGGGAGUGCCGAAAGGGAAUCGGAACACAGGUGCUGCAUGGCUGUCGUCAGCUCGUGUCGUGAGAUGUUGGGUUAAGUCCCGCAACGAGCGCAACCCUUAUCAUUAGUUGCUACGCAAGGGCACUCUAAUGAGACUGCCGGUGACAAACCGGAGGAAGGUGGGGAUGACGUCAAGUCCUCAUGGCCCUUAUGGGUAGGGCUUCACACGUCAUACAAUGGUCGGUACAGAGGGUUGCCAAGCCGCGAGGUGGAGCCAAUCCCAGAAAGCCGAUCGUAGUCCGGAUUGUUCUCUGCAACUCGAGAGCAUGAAGUCGGAAUCGCUAGUAAUCGCGGAUCAGCAUGUCGCGGUGAAUACGUUCCCGGGUCUU
rnacentral:rRNA from 1 species